rnacentral:misc_RNA from 1 species
CCAAGCAUGUCCGCCAGCAAUGGUGCCGACAUACAACCCUUUGUGAAACGUCUCUCUGUGCUUCGGUGGCUCCCCUCCUUCGCGAGGACGGUAAGUCCACCGGCCGUAACCAGAAUGAAAUUUAUUGUCUUCUACAAAUUAACAAACGUUA